GAAGGUAUAGCUGAAGUGAUAAAGCACAUGCUUUGUGCGCAGGAGGUCCUGGUUUCACUCCCCAGUACCUCCA
rnacentral:tRNA from 1 species